AGCACUUGGAGAACUGAACCUGUGAGAACAGAUCACAUGGGCCCCUGCCAUCUAAAUCCCAACUCUAAGGGCUUUUCAAAUGAAAAGGAAGGAAACUUGCAGCGAAACAAUCGAGGAAGCAGAAGAGAUGACCAGGACCACUUCAGGAUUACUUCCUCCAAAGGCAGCUUGGAGCUGGACUCACAAUAAAAGUCCUAUACACCCUCA